AUCCAGGAGCAAGGAUCUCUCAGUCGCUGCGUGAACUGCGGGAGAGCCGUCUAGAUCUCCGGAGGAACAGAGUCGCAUGCAGCAACACCAAAAGCAGCUUCAGAGGCAGACUCAGCAGGCCCAGGAGCUCCAGAGUCAGCUGCAGUUAAAGGGCGCCUGGAGGAAGAGAAUGAAGCACUAAUGAAAAGGAGUAUAAGCUGGAGUGGAGAGCUCAGGUGUAGCAGUAAUGACAGAAAAACGCUCUUUGCAGAGUGCAGCACGGGGUUGAUUGGCUGCAGAGAUGCACCCAGGUGGGGCACAAAUGUAAAGACCUGCAGGCUCGUCUGGGGCAGAGACCUACCUCGCUUAUACAGUGCCAGAAACACACACAGGACACCAGGA